rnacentral:tmRNA from 8 species
GGGGAUGAAACAGGAUAGACAGACGCAAUAAAGAGGACGGCGUUUGCUCGGUGGGAAUUCCAGCCGUAUAAGUGGGUCAUUUUUAUAAGUGCAAACGAUGAUUUCGUUGCCGCUAAUGAUAACAUGGAAACAGCUUUCGUAGCUGCUGCCUAGUUUUUGUCUUUAGCGCGGUUUUGGGGGCUUACCGGGCAACAGAAAAGCCCCCGCC